UGGUUUCUUUUGCAGUCUUUACAGCCUACCCGAGGUCACCUGCUUAGUUAUUGAGGUGCCAUCAAGCCCUUAAGUGAGGGGCGAAAGAAAGCGUCACUGCAAACGAAGACCAUAUUUGAGGACUAAGGAUCUCGAGUCUGCAGCCAGCAGUCAGUGGCACGAGACAUCGCAAGUCCAGAACGGUGCAGUGGUGCAUGUACGCCGCACACAUGCGUUAACAUGUAUUGUCCUCUCCGCGUGAACGUUUAUGUGCCUUGCGUCGUUUGCCGAUUUACAGAGGCUACCUUACACAACGCGACUCGGGCUCAGAGUCAAAAUGAUGUAACCACUCUCUAGCGCAGGGGGUAUGAAAGAUCUUUAUAGCAUGAAAUUGAAUGGAUUUAUGUUUAGAGAGGUAAAGAUAAUUCGCCAUUCUAUGGUCGCUAAGUGCAAGUACUGGCUAUACUGUUAUUAAAAUACAUUUGUGGUGAACAUUUCCGCAUCGAAUUAUGAAUAUGUGUAAUGGCUGUCACGCCAUAUGGUUCUUGUAGCCAAAGCUCUAGAUUUUCGCAGGUUCAAGUGUCAUGCACUUAAUUUUUUUCUUACUAAGCUUCCGAGUGAAAAAAUGCUCCUUGUAUGCAUAAUAAUUUUUUUUUUUAUUCGACAAUACAUAAUUUUCUCAAGC
rnacentral:lncRNA from 1 species